rnacentral:lncRNA from 1 species
GAAAUUUUCUGAAAUAGGCUUCUGGGUUUUUAUUCAAAACAACAUGGUGGCAGCUGCCACUUGGUUUCUCUAUGCCCGGGCCAUCUGGGCCAGCAGGGACCAGUGCCGUCAGCAACUAGGAGGGAAGUUCAUUCACACCAUAGAAACUGUACAGCCACUCGGAGUGCGGUAGUCACGGCAGCAGGGCCAGGCUGAGGGCUUCCUGGAGGAGGAAGGCCCCCAGGCCCCAGCUAAGCCCAGGCUCCACCAGGAACACUGAUUAUUGCACGAGGACAAAAAGAGUAUGUGUAUCUGGGCUAAAGAGCGGCUUCUAAGACCCCAAGCCCUUACACAACGCAGCAAAGAGGGCCGGAGGUGGCCCUGGAAACAAAAGGCUCUACGGGAAGGAUCUGGGGGAAAGACGGGCCGACAGGCUGAUACUGUGCCCACUUCAUUCUUUAGGGGGCUGCCAGGUGCAAAGAAGGCCGGGCAGGGGACAGGAAGAGGGUUUGGCCCCGGCAGGUUACAGGUCCAUCUGUGCAGAUGCCACGGUGCCUGCAGCCACCACUCUGUACAGCCCCGCAAACAGAUGGCUUGGGGUAUCGGGCACCAAGUUCCCCACUCUCGCUGGGGCCAGAUCUGUGUGAGUUAGGGUAAGUUUGUGCUUUUGUGAUGAACAGGUCCCAGGAUCAGGAGGGCAGAGGGGCCACUCACCCAACCCUUAUCCAUUUUGGCUUGUCCGAACCAGCCAGUCACAGCUCCCCUGACCCCCUAACUCCUGUGCUCCCAGAAACAAAGCCAAGGGCCUGGGAACAGCAUCCGGAGCCCUCCAGGAAUACGCCCCACCUCCCACGACCACAGCCCCGCAGCGCACCCCCCAAGCCAGCCUCUCCCUUCAGCUAUUCCCACCGCUAGACACACCCUGCUCUAGCCUGUCAGCUCCGCUCGGGCCAGUCCCUUUGCCUAGCCUGUCCUCCCCACGUGUCUGCUCAUCCGGGGACACCGGUUCAGCGUAAGGGGAUGGCUUCAUGUGGGACACACCAGGAUGCGUUCCCUGCCCAGCCGCUUAUCACCUGGUGACGCCGGGAAAGUCACUUCCCGGUCCGUGCGUGGAACAGCAGGGCACACCGCUCAGGGCUGCCACGCAGAUUAAAGAUGACGCAUUAAAAUGGACGCUGUUGACAGGUGUCAGAGGCCAACCCUUGAGCCCCAAUCCGUCCUCUAUUUGGUCUUUCCAGGUCACACGUUCCCCUCCGGAGUUCCAGCACUCAUGUCCCUCCAGGAACGCGCUGACGUGCACACCUCACGUGCAUGUGCGGGGAGGGAGGGGGAGACAGAGCUCCCUACGCCCUCUUCUUCCCCGGAUGAGCACCCCUGUCACAACCCAACAUGGCAAGGGAAGCAGCACAAGGUGGGCUGGGGCCAAGGAGGACGCGACCCCAGGCCUACCUGCUCCCCAACAGCCCCCCCACCGAGGCUGCAUCCUGGGAGGGGGUUCAGUGCUCGGGGAUCACCUGGUAUCCUCCCAGGGGCCCACCACCCCCACUUCUAGGGGAGGAGAGCCAAGCUCCCGAGGUUCAAGGGCUGAUGCGGGUCUGGCCACCAUGCUGGCCCAGCCGUGGUGCCAGCAGAGACCCCCGGGCAGGUUUUGCCUUCUGAACCCACGCCUUUUGACCGCUGGGUGCGCUUUUCCACAUCCCACAUAAUCAGGUUCUGGCCCCCUGCUGGACUGCAGACUCUGCUGCCAGGGCACUGAGGGAUCCUGGGCUGCCAGCCACCUUAACCUCUCCAGGGCUCAAUUCCUCGUGUGGGAAGUGGGCCUGCCCACCCUUCCCCACCCCGCCACCAGCUCCUAAGGGCAGGGCUCAGCAGACCACCAAGCCUGCGUCCCUCGCUGCCUCCUCCCUCUGCAGCAGUGCCCAGGCCCCAAGCACCCAGAAGACACCCGGAGCCCAUCCACGCAGCCAACCACCCGGUUCCACUUGCCAGCCUGACCCGAAGGCAAGUUCUGUAAGGUCAGGGUUUGGGAACGAGGACCAGGUCCCUGCAGCUGGGCCCAGCUGAAGCCAUCUCCGAGGAGGUCCCACAAAUGCAAAGGGCCUGGUUAUUGCUGGAAGUGUAGCGUCUCCCAAACUCGCAGCCUUUCCCGCCCCAGGGCGCUGCCUGUCUGCAGACCACCUGUACCACCACGUUCCCAAUCGUCUUAAGGUGACCCUGAAUCCAAUCACUUCUGAAAACUUACCCUUGACCUAAGCAAUGUCUGUGAAGUCAUGGGCUCAAUGGACUGUUUAUUUCCUAAUAAAUACGGGGGGGGGGGGGAUGCAUAACUAUUCAAAUAAAAAAGAGUCAUCUGUGCACCCACUUGGGAAGCACGGCUAGAGUGAAACCUGAUCUGCAGCCUGUGAAAAUGAUGGGGGGCAGGGGAGUGAGGCUGGUCCCAGGGCUAGCAGGUGCCCCCACCCCUGCUUACAAUCCUGUCAGGUCCCCCUUCCCUGAACUCCUUCCCCUGAACUCCACUGGAGGGGGCAGAGAUGCCUGGGGGCCCGCGGGGUGGGGGGGCAUGACCUCCUGGCUCAGGGUCCACCUGGAGGAUAAAAGGUGGUAAGAAACGACCACCCGCCACCGCUGGCUGCAUUAGCCCAGGGCGCCCGCAGGGCAUCAGCCAGCACAGACCACGGGCCCCCCUGAUUUCCAGGCAUCUCCCGCCCUGCUCAGUACCCUCUACCCCUCCUCUUUCCUGCUGCCUCCGUGCCCACCCUCGGUCUUCCUGGGGGGGGCAGAGCCACAGCAGACCCCCACCCCUGGAGGUGCCCUGCCCCCUGGCUGAGCCCCCUGCCCAGCCUCCCCGAGCUGCCCUCCACCCCCCACCCCUGCCCUAAGAAAUUACGACUAUUCACCUCUGAUUUUUCUAAAGAAAUACAUCUAACUGGUUGACUAAGAGUGUGCUCUGGGGCAUCUACAAAAGACUGCUCACAACAACUAGACAGUCAGGAACAAGACAGACACCCCGAUACGUGGGGGCGGGGGGGGGAUCUUAGCGGCGCUUCUUCGUUAAAGGAAAAGAAAAGAACGCACCCUGAAUUUCACCUCUUGGGAGCCUGUCUCCCCAGCCACAGGAACUUCAGAGGCCUGAGAGCAUCUCCUCCGCUCCUCCCAGCCCAGGGGACGUACCAAAGAGCUCGGCUGCUGACACCCCCGCGGGACCACCUGCCCUGGGGUAGGUCGGCCGGGUCCUUCAGCGUCGGGCAAAAGCCCUGCCUGGCGGCCGGCCC